rnacentral:rRNA from 1 species
UCCUACGGGAGGCAGCAGUAAGGGAUAUUGCACAAUGGACGGAAGUCUGAUGCAGCGACGCCGCGUGGGUGAAGAAGGUUUUCGGAUCGUAAAGCCCUUUUCUAUGUGACGAGGAAGGACGGUAGCAUAGGAAUAAGUGUCGGCUAACUACGUGCCAGCAGCCGCGGUAAAACGUAGGACGCGAACGUUAUCCGGAGUUACUGGGCGUAAAGCGCGCGCGGGCGGUUGUUCAAGUUACCUAUGAAAGUUAUCGGCUAAACUGAUAAUGGUUGGGUGAAACUGGAUAACUAGAGGGAAAUAGAGGGAAGUAGAAUUCCGGGUGUAGUGGUGAAAUGCGUAGAUAUCCGGAGGAAUACCGGUGGCGAAGGCGGCUUCCUGGAUUUCCACUGACGCUGAGGCGCGAAAGCGUGGGUAGCGAACGGGAUUAGAAACCCCGGUAGUCCACGCCGUAAACGAUGUACAUUAAGCGUUCGGCUACGAUGGUAGUUGAGUGUUGCAGCAAACGCGAUAAAUGUACCGCCUGGGGAGUACGGUCGCAAGGCUAAAACUCAAAGGAAUUGACGGGGA